ensembl:lncRNA
CUGAAAGUGACUUAUUAAAUAGAUAGUAUUUCUUUCCAAGAAAAAUGGUGGUGAUGGCUAGAUUAUUAUUUUUUUAAUUACAGCCAGCACCACAAUAUAUAAUACUUUAGAAUUUAGUAGGAAGAUUACUAGUAGUAGGAGUAGUGGGUGGAGUAGUUUUAGGAGUACAAGUAGAAGGAGUAGAGAGGAAUAGUAGUAGUAAUAGUAGAAUGGCCAACACGUUUUAAAACCUAAACUGUGUGGGAGGUGUAGUGUGCCAAAAAUAAUAAGAAGUAUGAAGAAGAACUAAACUGGCAGUUUCUCAAUCCUCCCCACUAACUAAGACACUGUACACUUCCUUGACUUUGCAUUGUUUGCAAAGGGCUUGAUUAAAUGUUCACCUUGAAAGGAAAGACAAUAUCUACCACAAAGAAGAAAGUUUCAGAUGUUGUACUGACCAAAGACAAAGUAAAAAAGUCAGCUGUUGAGAAAGGGCCGAUGAAAAAAGACAAAAUAACUCCUAUAAAAAAAGAUUCCCCUAAAGCAAAAGUGAAGAAGCAAGAACCUGUUUUGUCCAAAGGCAUGGUCAAACCAGCUGGUGUGAAAAAAGUUUCAGAUGUUGUACUGACCAAAGACAAAGUAAAAAAGUCAGCAGUCGAGAAAGGGCCGAUGAAAAAAGACAAAAUAACUCCUAUAAAAAAAGUUUCAGAUGUUGUAUUGUCCAAAGAUAAAGUAAAAAAGUCAUCUGUUAAGAAAGAGCCUGUGGAAAAAGCCAAAAUAAUUCCAAUGAAGAAAGGGCUUACAGUCUCCAAACUCAAAGGCAAAACAAUCACCACUAAGAAAGAACCGUCUGUGGCAAAAUCCAAAGCCAAAAGGUUACCUGUAAAGAAUGAAGCUGAGCCCCCUAAAGAGAAAGCCUCUCUAAGACACUCAACCAUGAGAAAAGAUAACCUCACAAAUAUACCAGUGCCAAUGGUAAAAGCCACUGCAAGAGUUGCUGCCACAAGACCCAUCUUUACAAGAAAAGCUGAAGACAAGCCAAAAGUACCAGAUGAGAAAGAAGAAAAGGUGAAGAAUCUUAAAACAUCAGAAGAUGAAGUUGAGAAGACUGAGAAGACUGAGAAGAGAGUGGUGAAAGAGGCUACAGAAGGAGACACGAAGCAUCCUGAUAAAGCAGAAGAGUCUCUGGCUGAGGAGAAUGUCACAGACAAGAAAAAAACAGGCCAGAAAGUCUUGCAGUGUGUCUUAAUGGCCGGAAAGAAUACCUACUACCCUAUGCAACCUUUCACCCCUGGCAUAACCCCUGUGUCGAUGAGCCCAGCCAUGCGGUCAAUGAUGAUGCAGCAGGCACAGCAGCAGACACAGCAGCAGAAGGCCAGAGCGGCAGGGCAAUAGAACAGUUCCACACCUCAACGAUGCCUCAGCUACUCCAUCUGCACUGCAGUCUUCACCAGCAGGUGGCACUGUUUGUUUUUACUGCUGUGCCACUGGCUUAAUUGAAAACGCAGGACAAUCAGGGGCUGAAGUGUACGGAAGAAUGGUCAGUACAGUACCAGUAAGGUUCCUAUGACCGGUUGAGCUCCCCGAAACCCCUUUCCAUCACCAGCUUUGCUGCUUUUGUUAUCGCUCAGCAUCAAGUCCUUUGUCAUGUAUGUCUUUCAGCAAAUGUAUUUGUCAUGAACACGAGUGUAGGUUUUGUCUAUAUUACCUUCAGCAGUGAAUUUAUCACUUAUGUAAAUUUCAACUAAAUGCAGUGUAUAUAUGCAUAGAAAUUGUAAUUUAGCUUCAAUCCAGUGUAUAUAAUGUACAUGUUGAUAUUACAUCUUGCGGUUUACAUUUGUUGAAUGGUUACUUGGCAUUCAUCUUUUGCAUCACAACAUUCAUCCCUUUUGUGAUUACAGAACAUGUAUGCACAUAACAUUUUGGGUCAUGCAUUAUCCACGGCAUUGUAAUGUUUCACUUCACCACAUGUUUUGAUUGUUUUGUGAAAACUGUUGCUUGUUUUGGUGCGAAACAUAUCCAUCUCUAUGCUUUGGAGAGAGUGCCAUGCACUGCAGUUAUUGCUCUCUUUAUCUUAUCUGUACAUUGAAAUCCUAAGCCAUAUAUUGACAUUCACAUCAAACCCUGAAAAAGCACAAAAAAACUAAGAAAUAACUGAUAAAGAUUUGUAUUUGCCUAAAAUGUAUUUGUAUACAAAAAUAUAUGUAUUUAUAUAUAUAUAUAUAUAUAUAUACAUAUAUAUAUAUAUAUAUAUAUGUAUGUGUAUGUAUUAUAUUCUUAAAAA